AUGCUCAAAAUUCUCCAAGCCAGGCUUCAGCAAUACUUGAACCGUGAACUCCCUGAUGUUCAAGCUGGUUUUAGAAAAGGCAGAGGAACCAGAGAUCAAAUUGCCAACAUCUGCUGGAUCAUGGAAAAAGCAAGCGAGUUCCAGAAAAACAUCUAUUUCUGCUUUAUUGACUGUGCCAAAGCCUUUGAGUGUGUGGAUCACAAUAAGCUGUGGAAAAUUCUGAAAGAGAUGGGAAUUCCAGACCACCUAAACUGCCUCUUGAGAAAUCUGUAUGCAGGCCAUGAAGCAACAGUUCGAACUGGACAUGGAACAACAGACUGGUUCCAAAUAGGAAAAGGAGUACGUCAAGGCUGUAUAUUGUCACCCUGCUUAUUUAACUUAUAUGCAGAGUACAUCAUGAGAAACGCUGGACUGGAAGAAACACAAGCUGGAAUCAAGAUUGCCAGGAGAAAUAUCAAUAACCUCAGAUAUGCAGAUGACACCACCCUUAUGGCAGAAAGUGAAAAGGAACUAAAAGGCCUCUUGAUGAAAGUAAAAGAGGAAAGUGAAAAAGUUGGCUUAAAGCUCAACAUUCAGAAAAUGAAGAUCAUGGCAUCCGGUCCCAUCACUUCAUGGGAAAUAGAUGUGGAAACAGUGUCAGACUUUAUUUUUGGGGGCUCCAAAAUCACUGCAGAUGGUGACUGCAGCCAUGAAAUUAAAAGACGCUUACUCCUUGGAAGAAAAGUUAUGAUCAACCUAGAUAGCAUAUUGAAAAGCAGAGACAUUACUUUGCCAACUAAGGUCCAUCUAGUCAAGGCUAUGGUUUUUCCAGUGGUCAUGUAUGGAUGUGAGAGUUGGACUGUGAAGAAGGCUGAGCACCGAAGAAUUGAUGCGUUUGAACUGUGGUGUUGCAGAAGACUCUUGAGAGUCCCUUGGACUGCAAGAAGAUCCAACCAGUCCAUUCUGAAGGAGAUCAACCCUGGGAUUUCUUUGGAAGGAAUGAUGCUGAAGCUGAAACUCCAGUACUUUGGCCACCUCAUGCGAAGAGUUGACUCAUUGGAGAGGACUUUGAUGCUGGGAGGGAUUGCGGGCAGGAGGAGAAGGGGACGACAGAGGGUGAGAUGGCUGGAUGGCAUCACUGACUCGAUGGAUGCAACUCUGAGUGAACUCCGGGAGUUGGUGAUGGACAGGGAGGCCUGGCAUGCUGCAAUUCAUGAGGUCGCAAAGAGUCGGACAUGA
rnacentral:lncRNA from 1 species